CUCCUGAGCCAUUCUGAGCCUC
rnacentral:miRNA from 2 species